rnacentral:rRNA from 1 species
GACGAACCGUGCGAACGUUGUUCGGAUUCACUGGGCUUAAAGGGCGCGUAGGCGGCGGCUCAAGUCGGGGGUGAAAUCGUUCCGCUUAACGGGACAAUAGCCUCCGAUACUGGGCCGCUCGAGGGAGGUAGGGGUGCGCGGAACUUCCGGUGGAGCGGUGAAAUGCGUAGAUAUCGGAAGGAACGCCGGUGGCGAAAGCGGCGCACUGGAUCUCCACUGACGCUGAGGCGCGAAAGCUAGGGGAGCAAACGGG